rnacentral:lncRNA from 1 species
GAUGCUGCCUCUUGCUGUGGUGACAGACAUGAGGCUGGGCUGGGAGCAGUCAGAGACAGAUGGGAACGACCUCCUGGAAGAAGCCUGGCACGGAGGAGCUGCAAGGGCUGUGUGUGCUCUGGCUCCACCGCUCCCCGUGGCACAUCUCCAAGGCUCGCAUCCCUAUGGCCCUGCAGAGGAGAGCGCCACGCCCUCCCUGCAUCCGGGUAACCACAUGCCAGGGACGUGAGGACAGCCAUGGACGCACUUCAGCAGGUUUGAAAACUCGCUCCAACUUAUUUGUUUCGUCUCUUUCUCUGCAGAAGUUAGAUUGAUCCUUAGUGCACCUUACCUUUCAUUCACUUUCUAACAUGCUGUGUGGUCUUAGGCAGAUGGCUCAUCCUCUCUGGUCUUAUAUCUUUNAUAAAAUAAUUUUUUUUUUUUUUGUCUUUUUCCAGGGCUGCACCCUCGGCAUAUGGAGGUUCCCAGGCUAAGGGUCCAAUCGGAGCUGUAGCCACGGGCCUACACCACAGCCACCACAAUGCCAGAUCUGAGCCGUGUCUGCAACCUACACCACAGCUCACGGCAACGCCGGAUCCUUAACCCACUGAGCAAGGCUAGGGAUCGAACCCGCAACCUCAAACAUGGUUCCUGGUCGGAUUCAUUAACCACUGAGCCAUGGCGGGACCUCCAGGUUUUAUAUCUUGAAGAUGACGUGGUUGGAGUAGACACCAUCUAAGAGGUGGCAGGAAUUGUAGGAAACGUCUAGUCUGCUUUCUGACCUUAUGGAGGAGGAGAGUAAGUUCUAGAGAGAGAAAAGGCCUUGCCUUCUGAUUCCAGAAAUCCUUGGGCUCUAAAUACCGAGCACUUCACACGGCGUUACAGGCGGUGCCAGUGUUAGACACACAGAGGCCGCCUGACCCAGCAGACGUGGGCUCUUCCUCGCGUGCCUGCCGGCAGUGAAGGUGGAGGCUGAACCAGGCGCUGCCUCAAAGCCUGUUGGUUUCCCCCGCGAACGUGUCUCUGCCCGGCCGCGCCAGGUGGCGGGACGGAUGAUGGAGCUGAAUCCAGUUCCCACCCAGCUGGUGGAGACGCUGGUGGCAGAGGUCGCAACCGGCACAGCAGGGGACGUGGGCGGAAAGGGUUUCCAUCCUCCCAGCCGGCAGCCCGUGCCUCUUUCCGGGUAAGAUACAUUCUCUUCCCCGCUAUUUACUGGCACCAACCUUAAUUCUGCCUCUUAAAGUGGCUGUUGGGGUGGGAAGAGAAACUGGGGGUCAAGAGAGAGAAGCCUGAUCUCAGGAACCUAGGGUCUGUCAGACCGGGAAAAUUGUGGCG